rnacentral:rRNA from 1 species
UAGUCCACGCCGUAAACGAUGGAUACUAGCUGUCCGGGGCCUUGAGUCCUGGGCGGCCAAGCGAAAGUGAUAAGUAUCCCACCUGGGGAGUACGUUCGCAAGAAUGAAACUCAAAGGAAUUGACGGGGGCCCGCACAAGCGGUGGAGCAUGUGGUUUAAUUCGAUGAUACGCGAGGAACCUUACCAGGGCUUAAAUGCAUAUUGACAGGGCUAGAGAUAGCUUUUCCUUCGGGCAAUUUGCAAGGUGCUGCAUGGUUGUCGUCAGCUCGUGCCGUGAGGUGUCAGGUUAAGUCCUAUAACGAGCGCAACCCCUAUUUUUAGUUGCCAUCGGUUCGGCCGGGCACUCUAAAGNGACUGCCGGUGUUAAACCGGNGGAAGGUGGGGACGACGUCAAGUCCUCAUGGCCCUUAUGCCCAGGGGCUACACACGUGCUACAAUGGUCGGGUACAGAGGGGAAGCCACACGGCGACGUGUAGCGGGAUCCCAAAAAACCGGUCUCAGUCCGGGAUUAGAGUCUGCAACCCGACUCC